GUAAGAGGAUUUCAGAUGCUG
rnacentral:siRNA from 1 species